AGUGAACGCUGGCGGUAGGCCUAACACAUGCAAGUCGAACGGCAGCACAGUAAGAGCUUGCUCUUACGGGUGGCGAGUGGCGGACGGGUGAGGAAUACAUCGGAAUCUACUUUUUCGUGGGGGAUAACGUAGGGAAACUUACGCUAAUACCGCAUACGACCUACGGGUGAAAGCAGGGGAUCUUCGGACCUUGCGCGAUUGAAUGAGCCGAUGUCGGAUUAGCUAGUUGGCGGGGUAAAGGCCCACCAAGGCGACGAUCCGUAGCUGGUCUGAGGGGAUGAUCAGCCACACUGGAACUGAGACACGGUCCAGACUCCUACGGGAGGCAGCAGUGGGGAAUAUUGGACAAUGGGCGCAAGCCUGAUCCAGCCAUACCGCGUGGGUGAAGAAGGCCUUCGGGUUGUAAAGCCCUUUUGUUGGGAAAGAAAAGCAGCAGGUUAAUACCCCGCUCUUCUGACGGUACCCAAAGAAUAAGCACCGGCUAACUUCGUG
rnacentral:rRNA from 1 species